AUGCCUGACCUACGCCGGCGGGUCGCUGGCCAUGGCGUGCGCGCUCGGCGGCGGCGACUAAAUUUGUCCGGCAGCAUGCACCAUGCAUGCCCUGGCCACGCCAACAGCUUCAGCUAUGUCAACGACAUCGUUCUCGCCAUCAACCAACUCCUCGCCCGCUUCCGGCGCGUGCUGCACAUGGACAUCGACGCGCACCAUGGGGACACAGCCCAACCUUGGUGCUCGUGUUGCCGGUGUGGACGCGGGCGCUGCCGCCGAUAG
rnacentral:rRNA from 1 species